rnacentral:rRNA from 1 species
GAUGAACGCUGGCGGCGUGCCUAAUACAUGCAAGUCGAGCGAACAGACGAGGAGCUUGCUCCUCUGACGUUAGCGGCGGACGGGUGAGUAACACGUGGAUAACCUACCUAUAAGACUGGGAUAACUUCGGGAAACCGGAGCUAAUACCGGAUAAUAUAUUGAACCGCAUGGUUCAAUAGUGAAAGACGGUUUUGCUGUCACUUAUAGAUGAAUCCGCGCCGCAUUAGCUAGUUGGUAAGGUAACGGCUUACCAAGGCAACGAUGCGUAGCCGACCUGAGAGGGUGAUUGGCCACACUGGAACUGAGACACGGUCCAGACUCCUGCGGGAGGAAGCAGUAGGGAAUCUUCCGCAAUGGGCGAAAGCCUGACGGAGCAACGCCGCGUGAGUGAUGAAGGUCUUCGGAUCGUAAAACUCUGUUAUUAGGGAAGAACAAAUGUGUAAGUAACUAUGCACGUAUUGACGGUACCUAAUCAGAAAGCCACGGCUAACUACGUG